rnacentral:misc_RNA from 1 species
UUUCCGUAGGUGAACCUGCGGAAGGAUCAUUACAGAGUUCAUGCCCUCACGGGUAGAUCCCCCACCCUUGAAUAUUUAUACCUUAGUUGCUUUGGCAGGCCGUGGAAACACCAUGGGCUCCGGCUUAUGCGUGCCUGCCAGAGGAAACAAACUCUGUUUUUAGUGAUGUCUGAGUACUAUAUAAUAGUUAAAACUUUCAACAACGGAUCUCUUGGUUCUG